AACAGCGAUUUCAGGGGCCUCGGUACAGGCAGGCUGGGGAACCCCUCUUUUACACCCCGUGAAUGCGCCGCUAGAAGCAGCGGCCGUCGCAACCGGUUUGGGGGUCCUGGUACAGGCAGGCCGGGUAAGCCCCCCUUUUAUGCCAGCGGCCGUCCCGGUGGAGGGCCUGCAUCCCGCUUCGGGGCCCCGGACCAGGCCGGCCGGGGACACCCCGCUUUCAUUCCGGGCGU
rnacentral:ncRNA from 1 species